rnacentral:misc_RNA from 1 species
UCAAUGAUGCAGUUAAAAAAUGAGGUGUGUUAUCAUUUACAAAAUUAUUUUCGUCUCUUGUAUUUUCAUUAUUUUGGUGGUGAUGGUAUCAAAGCUGGGUGGCUUAUUUAGUUACUUGGUGAUGGUAUCGAUGAUAGAGGUGAGUAAAUUGUUAUCCUUCUACUUUGUUACUCAAUUCUGAGCGCAAAUUUUUGAAGGCAGAUGCUUUAAAAUUUAUCCUGUGGGUGCUCCUGGAAUUUUGUUAUCGAACAGUAGUCCCACUGAAGAAAAUCAGCUCUUAAUUAUUUGAUUUUGUUUCUUGCAUAUGAGUGUGAAUGUAUGCUCGUGUGCUCUGUCUUACAUUCUUUUCUUUUUUACUGGGUUUUUGUUGCUCAAGCAGAUACAUACAGUUGCCGUUGGAGCUGCUAUUGGCUAGGCUUGUCUAUU